UACGAAGGGGGCUAGCGUUGCUCGGAAUUACUGGGCGUAAAGGGUUUGUAGGUGGCUUGCUCAGUCAGACGUGAAAUCCCUCAGCUUAACUGGGGAACUGCGUCUGAUACUAGCGAGCUUGAGUGCAGGAGAGGAACGCGGAAUUCCAGGUGUAGCGGAUGAAAUGCGUAGAUAUCUGGAGGAACACCGGUGGCGAAGGCGGCGUUCUGGACUGCAACUGACACUGAAAACGAAAGCCAGGGGAGCAAA
rnacentral:rRNA from 1 species